UACCAGCACCCCGAGUGGUCGGGACGAUUAUUGGGCCUAAAGCAUCCGUAGCCGGUCCUACAAGUCUUCCGUUAAAUCCACCUGCUUAACAGAUGGGCUGCGGAAGAUACUAUAGGGCUAGGAGGCGGGAGAGGCAAGCGGUACUCAGUGGGUAGGGGUAAAAUCCUCUGAUCCAUUGAAGACCAACAGUGGCGAAGGCGGCUUGCCAGAACGCGCUCGACGGUGAGGGAUGAAAGCUGGGGGAGCAAACCGG
rnacentral:rRNA from 1 species